UACGUAGGUGGCAAGCGUUGUCCGGAUUUAUUGGGCGUAAAGCGAGCGCAGGCGGUUACUUUAGUCUGAUGUGAAAGCCCCCGGCUCAACCGGGGAAGGUCAUUGGAAACUGGGGAACUUGAGUGCAGAAGAGGAGAGUGGAAUUCCAUGUGUAGCGGUGAAAUGCGUAGAUAUAUGGAGGAACACCAGUGGCGAAAGGGACUCUCUGGUGUGUAACUGACGCUGAGGCUCGAAAGCGUGGGGAGCAAACAGG
rnacentral:rRNA from 1 species